AGCUCCAAUAGCGUAUAUUAAAGUUGUUGCAGUUAAAAAGCUCGUAGUUGGAUCUCGGGUGCAGGCGUGCGGUCCGCCUCACGGCGUCCACUGCUCGUCCCUGCCGCCUACCAUCCGGCUCUCCCUUGGUGCUCUUAGCUGAGUGUCUCGGGUGGCCGGGACGUUUACUUUGAAAAAAUUAGAGUGUUCAAAGCAGGCACUUUGCCUGAAUAAUGGUGCAUGGAAUAAUGGAAUAGUACCCCGGUUCUAUUUUGUUGGUUUUCGGAGCUCGGGGUAAUGAUUGAGAGGGACGGACGGGGGCAUUUGUAUUGCUCCGUUAGAGGUGAAAUUCUAGGAUCGGAGCAAGACAGCCGACUGCGAAAGCAUUUGCCAAGAAUGUUUUCA
rnacentral:rRNA from 1 species